rnacentral:lncRNA from 1 species
UCAGAUCAGAGGAAUGUACAAAGUAGUAGAGGAAUGUUCAAAUUUUACAUCGGUUGAAGCAAGCAGCCAAUGGUGAUACCACCACAUGAGACAUGAUACCCUAGAUGUUUCAAUACAUGUAUUAUGGAAUAUGGCGAACACAAAAGGUUCAUUACCUAUUGCAAUCUUCCUCCUCGUAUUGCUUUUUCCUGCAGUAUCAAAUAAACAUCGACAACCAAAGGUUAGUACAGAAUUAAAAUAAUUUAGGAAGUUCUAUCAGAAAAGAAAUAUCCGUUUCCUUCCUAGACUUUCCUGUUUUCCAUUGGCAAAACUUACAAGUUUCUACAUAAUUGCCGCCGAUAUAAACCUUGAUGAUCUAAUUGAAACUUUGUAGACUAAUUUUAUUGGCUGAAGCAAGUAGCUGCCAACCAUCACAUGGGGGA